GACGAACGCUGGCGGCGUGCUUAACACAUGCAAGUCGAACGAAGUGGCGAACGGGUGAGUAACGCGUAAUCAACCUGCCCUUCAGAGGGGGACAACAGUUGGAAACGACUGCUAAUACCGCAUACUGAAGGAGGGGUUUGCGUCUGAUUAGCUAGUUGGAGGGGUAACGGCCCACCAAGGCGAUGAUAAGUAGCCGGGCUGAGAGGAUGAACGGGCACAUGGGGAAGGAGAAACGGCCCAGAAUUCUACGGGAGGCAGCAGUGGGGAAUCUUCCGAAAUGGACGAAAGUCUGACGGAGCAACGCCGCGUGAGGGAUGAAGGCCUUCGGGGUGGAAAGCUCUGUUAAGCGGGAAGCGGUACCGGAAUAGAAAGCAACGGCUAACUACGUGCCAGCAGCCGCGGUAAUAC
rnacentral:rRNA from 1 species